rnacentral:lncRNA from 1 species
GGUUCUAGACACUGAACCCAAGGCCAUGUGCAGGCUAAGCACAUUCUACCCUGAGUGCUCCAACCUGUUUGACAGCUCAAGCAAAAAUACAGAAAAGCAUCCUGGGAGCUGCCAGGUGUUCAGUUUCCCAUUCUCCUGCUCUGGCUGUAACAGCAUUGCAGCCUUUCCUUGGUUUUCUUGAGCAUUAGUGUUAACAUGGCUGCCUAGCCCUGUCCCUUAAACUUGACAGAGUCAGAAGUGACUCUCUUUGGUCUGGCAACAACUAGGAUAGUCCUCUUCCUGAGAACACUGAAAGAUUGCUCAGUCAAGAAGCCAGUCAUCUGGGCCUCAGAUACAGCUCUUGGGCUCAGACUCUGCCGGCAUUUUUUCUGAUUGCUCUGCAGAAAGGCCUGUCACUCCAUUCUGAGGCCAGACUUUGAGCUCCCGAGAAGCAGCCGGGUGUCAGUGCUGGGCUGGAGCUGUGGCAACUGUUUUGAAGGAUGGCACUCUUCAUGCCACCCUUCUUCCUCACUCAGCCCAGAGGUAAAUCUUCAAAACUUUGGCCCUGUCAAGCCCUGUACUACCCAAGUGCCACCACACUUCUCUGACCGCCUAGUGUCUUCCCAAGUGAUAUACAAUACAGUACAUUUCGUGGCAUUUUAUCGCUGAAAUAAUAGUAGAUGCCAAAAACCACAGAAUCAAAAAAUAGCUUACAAUGUUAUGAAGUACAACACACACAAAUUAGACAUAUGUGUUCACAUACUCAGCCCGCUGAGCAUUGAAAUACCAACACCAAAUACCCCCAAUGUGGCCUUUGGCUUGCCCGGAUACUCUCAGGACUAUCGUGGGCCUUGCUCGGCUACUCUAAUGAAUGAACUAUACAACUCCUCCUCCUUUCCCUAAGGCAUUAAUCUCUCUGCUCCUCCCACUGAGCAGAAAAUGAUGAAAACUGGCUUUUUAAAAUUAAAAGAAGGAACCUGUAAUCUGACAGGAGACGAAAAAGAGACUCUGAAUGAGGGAACAAAACUCUAACCUCCACUUAGGAGUCUGAGUGUGGGCUAAGUGGUCCAAAGAAUGUUAGGAAUAUAGUUCCAUACUGGAGCUACCGCCUCUUUAUUACAGCUAGACUCAAGAGCAGGGUCAGCAGUCUUCUAACUACACAAGAUCUCAGGUUUCACGCACCACAGACCUAACAAGCUGAGACGACUCAUUUCUUCCCUCCUGACUCCUUGGCUUCCUGUACGUCCUACUGUCUCCAGAGAGCAACAUGUUAACCCUCAGAGUAGAGUAACUAAGUAUAGUUGAGUAGGUGUUAAAAUUCUAAAAGCUAGACUAAGCAUUCUGCCAAAAUGAACCAGAGCCAAGGAACCCAAAGACAAUGGCCCGCCACUUGUCCAUUCCAGUUUGCAUGUAGAAAGCAUUACCUGGCGUUUCUGAAGAGCUGUGAGUGUGUAGACCACCAUGCUCAACUGCACAAUUAUCAGAGUUCAUGGUGCAGAGUGUUCAAAGUGAACUUGGAAAGCUAUAUGGAGCUGGAGCAUAGCCCAUGGGAGAGUGCUUACCAGCAAUAUCUGAGCAGUGGGAUUGAUCCCUAGCACGGAAGAAGAAAGGAGCGAGUUAUAUAGUUAGAAGCUAUGCAUGGUAGCAUAUGGAUGACUUAAGGCUAGCCUGGGCUACAUCCCAUUAAAAACAACAAAAUUAUAGCCUAUUUCUGACUAGAUGCUCAAGCCCAAGUACCAUGUUAUCUGGUUUAUUCCCUCCUUUCUUUUUUGAGGAAAAAGAAGGGUAGAGGGUGGGGAAAGACACAAGAAUCAAACAGAUUCUGUUCUGGGUUAGCUCUGCCCCACAGAAACCAGGGCUCCCUGGCCCUGGAAAUGUAAACACACUGGGUUGUGAGGACAGACAGCUUCAUGUCUAACUGCCUCCUGGGUCUUUGACUGUAACAACCUGAGAUCCUGGCUAUAAAGACCAAGAACCAGACAACCUCAGGUCUAUCUGGCUAGGUUGGUUUGGUUUUUGCCUUUAUGACCAUACAAUCUGGAACUAAGGUCAUGUUUCUAAGUGGUCUCUACCGCUGGACUGAUGCCCUGCACUGCAAGCCUGUCUUGUUUUAGUGACACACAGCGAGCAGACAGUGGUAACAGUUGUCUCCUUUUCAGUUCUGAGGCCAGAACAUCACAUUCUUCAGCUUUUAAACAUCUGAGACAGUCUUUUGCCAAAGAGGCAGUGUAAGGUAGUGUGAACACUAAACAGCCACUGACUUCUUCACUGCCCAGGAGCCAUCCCUACCCAGGAAGGCUUCGAGUUGCCACCAAGCACCAGUUCCCUUGGGAGCCUCCUUAAUGAACAAAUGACAAAUUCUCCCCAUGGCCAAAAGGUGAGAGGGAAGGAAGGAACAGAGUGGAAGAGAAAGGGUUUUGUCUUCAAGUAGAAUCGUCUAGUCCUCUGUUUGGUUGUUCAGAGCUGCACUUGCAGAGCCGGUCCAUAAUGCUUCGGAGCAUAGGCUGCACGAUGCCCAAGAGGGGCCUCUUCAAGGGGUCACCAUCCCAACACGCCUCCAUCAACUGCCAGCACUCCUCAUCAAACACAGGAAGACGCUCUGGACGGGUCCCUAGAGAAAAGAGCAAGGAAGUGAAGCCAGUCUGGGAGAGCAAAGGGUUUGGGUUUCCACAGCAGACACCUCAGCUGUAAUGCAACAGGAAUGGUGGAAACUGGUAUAAUGCUGCCAGUUAGCAAAGGUCUGGUUUAUAGUGUCCCUUCAGCAUUAUAUGAUGGUCUGUCUGAUGUGGCCAUGCUGUGGAGUGGCCAGAAGAUGAGGGUGCCCUGCUGUGGUAUCCAGGCUGUCUGCUCUCAGAGAGUUCAAGCCAAGUGGCUUGGUGAGUCUUACCUCUGCGCACAUUAUUCCAGAGAUGGUCUUUGCUAGCACACCUCUCAAAUGCCUCAGGGAGCUUGAUAGAGCCGGAGCAGAUAUACCAAAAAAGGAUCCCAAAAGCAUAGACGUCCACAGAGUUAUCAUACUUUCCUACAGUAAAGACAGACGAGCGAUAGUGAGCCACCAUCUUGUGUCUAUGGUUCCUUACACAAUUUUGAAAAGCUUUUAAUGUCUACUGUUCUUCACAACUUGCCUGGAAGGCAGGGCACACCUGUAGUGCCCAUUUUAUAAUAUGGAAAGCUAGAUGCUAAGACAGCCAAGACAAAAAUUUGUCAAAACAGAAGGAAAAUCAGGCCAUUCAUUUUAUUGGGACAGUCUGCAAGAUCAGUUCUAUAAGGGGCCAUAUUAGAGAACUAUGGGUGGGACUCAGAAAAUAAAAAUUAUAAAGACUGGCAGGUGUGGUGGUGGACACCUGUAAUCCCAGCACUCAAAAGACUGAGGCAGAAGUAUAGUUUAAGGCCAGUCUAGGAUACACAGGAAGAUCCUAUCUCUCAUACAAAGAUCUUAAAGGCAGAGAAGAGUCUAGAGUUGGUGGGUAGCAGAAGGUCGUAGCAGGGGUACCACAGCAAUAGGGUAGACAACAGUAAGAAGAAUUUAAGCUGGCAGAAUAAAG